UACGUAGGCAGCGAGCGUUGUCCGGAGUCACUGGGCGUAAAGGGCGCGUAGGUGGUGGCUUAAGCGUGCGGUGAAAGCUCGGAGCUCAACUCCGAGUCAGCCGUGCGAACUGGGCUCGCUGGAGCAUAGUAGAGGCAGGUGGAAUUCCGGGUGUAGCGGUGGAAUGCGUAGAGAUCCGGAAGAACACCGGUGGCGAAGGCGGCGUGCUGGGCUAUGGCUGACACUGAGGCGCGACAGCGUGGGGAGCAAACAGG
rnacentral:rRNA from 1 species